rnacentral:rRNA from 1 species
UACGUAGGGUGCAAGCGUUGUCCGGAAUCAUUGGGCGUAAAGAGCGCGUAGGCGGCCCUGUAAGUCCGCUGUGAAAGUCAAGGGCUCAACCCUUGGAUGCCGGUGGAUACUGCAGGGCUAGAGUCCGGAAGAGGCGAGUGGAAUUCCUGGUGUAGCGGUGAAAUGCGCAGAUAUCAGGAGGAACACCGAUGGCGAAGGCAGGUCUCUGGGCCAUAACUGACGCUGAGAAGCGAAAGCAUGGGGAGCGAACAGG